CCGAAUGAUAUUGCAUUUUACAACACGUUUUAAUCGCGGACGAGUACGCGUGUCGGAUAUUAGUAGUGGCUCGUCAUGAAUUUUUCAAUACCAUUCGUAUGCUUGUAGGCAUGAUGGACGGACCCUUCACGGGUUGUCGUCCACUCCCACAUCCCGAUCUAUGAAAUUAGCUUGCAAAUAUUGACAGAACGAGACUCGUACGAAAUUCAAAAUUCUCGUAACGAUUGAGUGAAGGAGUAAUGUAACCGCGUAUAUUCAUAAUUUAAACCGCGUAAUCAAUACUACCGCGAAAACAGAAAUCGUACAAUAACGCUCACCUCAACUCGGGUGACGCGAAACGUGAAUAAGAUCGGUAUUCGAGUAUCGGGAAAGACCGAUGAUGGCGGAAAUCGCAUUGAAACCGUUGGCCACGGUACUAAAAACGUUCCAUUCAAGUGUUGAAAUCCUUCAAUCUAAACGGUUAAGCCCGCCUGCCUGUAAACACGACUACAUCAAAGCGGAGAUCCAGCUUUCAGAGCGUUCGACUCAAUUUUCGCACAGUCAUGCGAGUCGAGCGUUAUGUAAGUUUGCACAACACCAUUAUUGCUGUACAGGUGUGCCGACACCCACUCGCAAGUUACUCAUAGCGGACCAAUUUCCGGGAAAAUCACCUUGUAGUUGAUUACUUAAUUUCGGGCAGAAUGCUGAUCGGAUAAGACUGUAUAUUUUCUUCCUCAUGUGCGAAAAAUAUGGCCAAAAAUAAGCACGGUGUAUUGGAAAUAUUUAACCAUUUUCUUUUAACUCGCAGCAGCGAAUUACGACUCGAAAUGCGUUAUGCUCAACAAUUGGCCCGUUCAUCGCAUGUUCUUCUACGGCUAACUAUAAAUCAUGCUGUUACACAAUAAACGUCAUAAGUUUGCUGUGCACGAAAUGACAAAUCACUUUUGUGACUAUUAACCGUGACUCCGGCGUACUCAGUCAAAUAUUUCACAGGAAAAACGUUUAAAAGUGCCACUUGGUAAGGAUUUUUCAUGAUUUCGGAUUAACGUAUUUGAGCAAGAUCGCAGAGAAGAUGGUGCCCAAAUAUUGCGACUUUCAACUGCUGUAUGA